CAGCCGCCACGGGAAUGCGUAGGUGGCAAGCGUUGUCCGGAAUUAUUGGGCGUAAAGCGCGCGCAGGUGGUUUAAUAAGUCUGAUGUGAAAGCCCACGGCUCAACCGUGGAGGGUCAUUGGAAACUGUUAAACUUGAGUGCAGGAGAGAAAAGUGGAAUUCCUAGUGUAGCGGUGAAAUGCGUAGAGAUUAGGAGGAACACCAGUGGCGAAGGCGGCUUUUUGGCCUGUAACUGACACUGAGGCGCGAAAGCGUGGGGAGCAAACAGGAUUAGAUACCCCAGUAGUCCCUGUCUCUUAUAC
rnacentral:rRNA from 1 species